rnacentral:rRNA from 1 species
GACGAACGCUGGCGGCGCGCUUAACACAUGCAAGUCGAGCGAGAACCAGGGCUUCGGCUCUGGGGAAAGCGGCGAACGGGUGAGUAACACGUGAGUCAUCCACCCUCGGCACCGGGAUAGCCCGGGGAAACCCGGAUUAAUACCGGAUGGCCCGUCUGCCCUUCGGGGCGGCCGGAAAAGGUAGCUUCGGCCUCCGGCCGAGGACGAGCUCGCGGCGGAUUAGCUUGUUGGCGGGGUAACGGCCCACCGAGGCGACGAUCCGUAGCUGGUCUGAGAGGACGAUCGGCCACACUGGGACUGAGACACGGCCCAGACUCCUACGGGAGGCAGCAGUGGGGAAUCUUGCGCAAUGGGCGAAAGCCUGACGCAGCGACGCCGCGUGCGGGAAGAAGGCCUUCGGGUUGUAAACCGCUUUCAGGAGGGACGAAGCCACUCGGGUGAAUAGCCCAGAGGGUGACGGUACCUCCAGAAGAAGCCCCGGCUAACUACGUGCCAGCAGCCGCCGUAACAC